rnacentral:misc_RNA from 1 species
AACGCAUAUUGCGCUUCCUGGUAUUCCGGGGAGCAUGCUCGUUUCAGAAUCAUUCAAAAACUCACAAGCUGUUUCUUGCCUGUCAUGGGUUUAAGUCGAGCACUUUGUGGAUUUGAGUGUUGUUUGUUCUGGUCUCUUUUGGCCGGAUCAAUCACUCUGAAACAAUUGUGCGUAGGACGCUGAUACGCAUGUCAUGUGCGUACUUUGGUCCAACUCUCAGUGCAACAGAAAAGUCUCACUGAGGUUUGAUGCCAAGGCGGGCCUACAAGCCCAGCACCGUUUUACGCACUUCAAUCCAACACGGUGCCGCUCUCAAUUUUUGAGAGUGGUUCCGAUAACUUGGUCUGAAAUCGAGCAAGAAAACCCGCUGAACUUAA